rnacentral:rRNA from 1 species
UACAGAGGUCUCAAGCGUUGUUCGGAUUCAUUGGGCGUAAAGGGCGCGUAGGCGGCGGGGUAAGUCGGGUGUGAAAUCUCAGAGCUCAACUCUGAAAUGGCACUUGAUACUGCUCUGCUAGAGGAGUGGAGAGGAGAUUGGAAUUCACGGUGUAGCAGUGGAAUGCGUAGAUAUCGUGAGGAAGACCGGUGGCGAAGGCGGAUCUCUGGACAGUUCCUGACGCUGAGGCGCGAAGGCCAGGGGAGCAAACGGG